rnacentral:misc_RNA from 1 species
GAUGAAGAACGCAGCGAAAUGCGAUAAGUAAUGUGAAUUGCAGAAUUCAGUGAAUCAUCGAAUCUUUGAACGCACAUUGCGCCCCCUGGCAUUCCGGGGGGCAUGCCUGUUCGAGCGUCAUUACAACCCUCAAGCUCUGCUUGGUAUUGGGCUCUGCUGGGACCGGCAGGCCUUAAAAUCAGUGGCGGCGCCACUCGGCUUCAAGCGUAGUAAUUCUUCUCGCUUCGGAGACCCGGGUGCGUGCUAGCCAGCAACCCCCAACUUUCUUAGGUUGACCUCGGAUCAGGUAGGGAUACCCGCUGAACUUAAGCAUACAAUAAGCGGAGGA